rnacentral:rRNA from 1 species
UACGUAGGGUCCGAGCGUUGUUCGGAUUCAUUGGGCGUAAAGGGUGCGUAGGUGGCGUGGUAAGUCUGGUGUGAAAUCCCGGGGGCUCAACCCCCGGAACUGCACUGGAUACUGCCAUGCUUGAGUACUGGAGAGGAGAUUGGAAUUUACGGUGUAGCAGUGAAAUGCGUAGAUAUCGUAAGGAAGACCAGUGGCGAAGGCGAAUCUCUGGACAGUUACUGACACUGAGGCACGAAGGCCAGGGGGAGCAAACGGG